CCUACUCUUGACAUCCAGAGAACUUUCCAGAGAUGGAUUGGUGCCUUCGGGAACUCUGAGACAGGUGCUGCAUGGCUGUCGUCAGCUCGUGUUGUGAAAUGUUGGGUUAAGUCCCGCAACGAGCGCAACCCUUAUCCUUUGUUGCCAGCGGUCCGGCCGGGAACUCAAAGGAGACUGCCAGUGAUAAACUGGAGGAAGGUGGGGAUGACGUCAAGUCAUCAUGGCCCUUACGAGUAGGGCUACACACGUGCUACAAUGGCUCAUACAAAGAGAAGCGACCUCGCGAGAGCAAGCGGACCUCAUCUCCCUUUCUAGUCCGGAUUGGAGUCUGCAACUCGACUCCAUGAAGUCGGAAUCGCUAGUAAUCGUAGAUCAGAA
rnacentral:rRNA from 1 species